rnacentral:rRNA from 1 species
UACAGAGGGGGCCAGCGUUAUUCGGAAUUAUUGGGCGUAAAGGGCGCGUAGGCGGCCGCGCGUGUCUUCCGUGAAAUCCCUCGGCUCAACUGAGGACGUGCGGAAGAAACUGCGGUGCUGGAGUGCGGGAGAGGUGAGUGGAAUUCCCGGUGUAGCGGUGAAAUGCGUAGAUAUCUGAAGGAACAUCAGUGGCGAAAGCGACUUCCUGGACCAAUACUGACGCUCAUGUGCGAAAGCGUGGGGAGCAAAC